UACGGAGGGUGCAAGCGUUAAUCGGAAUUACUGGGCGUAAAGGGCUCGUAGGUGGCCAACUAAGUCAGACGUGAAAUCCCCAGGCUUAACCUGGGAACUGCGUCUGAUACUGGAUGGCUUGAAUUCGGGAGAGGGAUGCAGAAUUCCAGGUGUAGCGGUGAAAUGCGUAGAUAUCUGGAGGAAUACCGGUGGCGAAGGCGGCAUCCUGGACCGAGAUUGACACUGAUGAGCGAAAGCUAGGGGAGCAAACGGG
rnacentral:rRNA from 1 species